rnacentral:rRNA from 1 species
GGGUGGCGGACGGGUGACGUAACGCGUAAAGAACUUGCCUCACAGCUAGGGCACAACAUUUAGAACAUGAAUGCUAAUACCUGAUAUUAUGAUUUUAAGGCAUCUUAGAAUUAUGAGAGCUAUAAGCACUGUGACGACGACGCUUUGCGUCCCAUUAGCUAGUUGGCAGAGGUAACAGCUCACCAAGGCGAUGAUGGGUAGCCGGUCUGAGAGGGUGAACGGCCACAAGGGGACUGAGACACGGCCUUACUCCUACGGGAGGCAGCAGUGGGGAAUAUUGGACAAUGGACCGAGAGUCUGAUCCAGCAAUUCUGUGUGCACGAUGAAGUUUUUCGGAAUGUAAAGUGCUUUCAGUUGGGAAGAAAGAAAUGACGGUACCAACAGAAGAAGUGACGGCUAAAUACGUGCCAGCAGCCGCGGUAAUACGUAUGUCACGAGCGUUAUCCGGAUUUAUUGGGCGUAAAGCGCGUCUAGGUGGUUAUGUAAGUCUGAUGUGAAAAUGCCGGGCUCAACUCUGUAUUGCGUUGGAAACUGUAUAACUAGAGUACUGGAGAGGUAAGCGGAACUACAAGUGUAGAGGUGAAAUUCGUAGAUAUUUGUAGGAAUGCCGAUGGGGAAGCCGGCUUACUGGACAGAUACUGACGCUAAAGCGCGAAAGCGUGGGUAGCAAACAGGAUUAGAUACCCUGGUAGUCCACGCUGUAAACGAUGAUUACUAGGUGUCAGGGGUCGAACCUCAGCGCCCAAGCAAACGCGAUAAGUAAUCCGCCUGGAAGAGUACGUACCAAGU